GUUUCUUUCUAGAGGUUUCUCUAUUGUGAUAUUUCCCUCUGAGCCUGCUUCUUUUGUGAUGGCUGUUGAAGUCAAAAGUUACCAGAAGAAUGUCAAGUCUUAGAGAGGGAGUUGCCACCCAAGAAUUACUGGUAAGAAUCUGAGGAAGAUGGAAUCUUCUCUGAGAGGACAAAGGUAUAUAAUUUGGAAGAUAUGAAAUGACAGCUAAUGAGCAAUUUCUAAAUGGCUAGACUGGAUAACUCUGCUUUAGACACUGCCUGAUGUUGAUGUACUGGCAGAAAUCAUUUACCUGUGUAACUGAGAGCACAACUCAAGAAGUGUUUCCUGCUGCUGAAGUCUUUCAAAAAUCAGAAAAUGAAUAAAAUACAAGAGUAGAACAGUAAAAUGCAAUAAGGCCUGUUGCAAUGGAGAGGGGCCUGUGGCUUAAAGUGCUUUAAAACAAUACAAAAACUAGCUGUUGCCUAAAGAAAAAGGCUCUUCUACUGAUAGCGUGGUUUCUUCAGGAGGAUCUUGUAUACAAGAUGUACUGAAACCUUGCAUGAUACUUUUCAAAGAAUUUUAAAAGUGAUUGAAAUAAGACUUCGACUGGAAUGGACUGGAAAUGAACAAAAACAAAAGUGUUAAGUUAGCUAUUACUGCUACAAGUCAUCUCUCUAUAGAGGAAUAAAAACAACUUUAUUCCAUUCCUGAAGCUUAUAAAAGGCAACAGCUGAAAUUUUAUCAGUACAGGAAAGCUGUUCCUAGGAAGACAUAGGAGGUACACUGAGCUUGAAAACAGAUUAAGGCUUUGUCUAGGUUUCUUUUUUUAAUCAGUUUGAGCUGGUAACAUCAUGCAGCGUUAAAUGUACAUCUGCAAAGAAUAUCAAGUGAUUUUUUUAGGUGUAACUGUCCCUGUAAUAUUUUUUUCUAGCAAAAUAGAAGAAAAUAAGUAGAUGAUCUAACAUUUAUUAAUACACUCAUUCGUCUUUGAUAGCUUUUGUAUUUUUAUAGUAUAUUAUUAAACUUGGCUUGUAUAAAUGUGACAAAUGACCAUGAUGUUUGGUGCUGUUAGAUGGUUGAACUUCUGUUUAGGUACAGUAAUUUGUCCAAAUAUUCACUUGAAUCAGCAUAGACAUAUACGGAGAGGGGAAUGUGAGAUAUGAGCAGUGAUGGAUAGCACAUCACCUAUAAUUUAAUUCUAACGUGGACUCAAAUCUGCUCUUAAAAUAGUUAAAAUUACUAAUGCAGUUUUUUGGUUGCCCUAAUGUAUUAAGGUAUUUUUUGGUCAUAACUUUUCUGAUGUCAUCCUUUGCAAUAUGCUAUGUCUGUGCUAAAAUGGAAGAACAGCUUAUUUGCACUAAACAGUCACAGUUGAGUUUGACAGGUCUAUAAUUAGUGUCUUUGCGAACAGCUGCAACUUAACCUCAAUGAAGCUAAACUACUUAGUUUUGAAAAAUGUCACAGGCAUUGCAUGUGGGAUAUUUGUAGGGCUGCAUUAGCCAAACUGCAAAAUGGUGACGAUUCUUUUUUAAAUCUGACUACUUCAGUUCUAAUGUUCCAUUUCAGUAGUGUCGUACUCCUAUUUCAGGGGGAAAAAUUCCAUCAAAUUCAGUGUUUUGGGACAGCUUAUGACUAAUGUAGGCAACCUCCACAAAAUGUAUAUUACUUAAGAAAUGCAUACUCCAUACUCUAUGUAUUUUACAUGAAGGUGCGUUUUUAAUGCAAGCUGAAUUGACAGAAGCUGAGAUUGUCUGUGGAAAAGAAAUGCAGUCUAUCCUUAGAAAAUGCAUUUAAAUUUGAAUAAUUUAGGCAUAACCAUCUGUAAUUUCACAACCCAACUUCCUCUGAAAUGAUUUAAAUGUUUUAUCAGUAGGCUUGACAAUUCCAUCUUUUGUUGAGAAUUCAAUCCUGUGUUCAAUACAGUCAAUAUACGUCAGCAUACUAAUGUUUUGCCAUCUUGAGAAUAAAAUGACUGCUAAUCUCCUG
ensembl:lncRNA